UACGUAGGGAGCAAGCGUUGUCCGGAAUCAUUGGGCGUAAAGCGCGCGUAGGUGGCCAUGUAAGUCCGCUGUGAAAGUCAAAGGCUCAACCUUUGAAAGCCGGUGGAUACUGCAUGGCUAGAGUACGGAAGAGGCGAGUGGAAUUCCUGGUGUAGCGGUGGAAUGCGCAGAUAUCAGGAGGAACACCAAUAGCGAAGGCAGCCCGCUGGGACGUCACUGACACUGAGGCGCGAAAGCGUGGGGAGCGAACAGG
rnacentral:rRNA from 1 species